UGGGGAAUAUUGCACAAUGGGCGGGAGCCUGAACCAGCCAUGCCGCGUGAGGGAUUGAGGCCCUACGGGUCGUAAACCUCUUUUGCCGGGGGAUAACGGGCGCCACGCGUGGCGCCGUGAAGGUACCCGGAGAAUAAGCAUCGGCUAACUCCGUGCCAGCAGCCGCGGUAAUACGGAGGAUGCGAGCGUUAUCCGGAUUUAUUGGGUUUAAAGGGUGCGCAGGCGGCGCGCCAAGUCAGCGGUCAAAGUUCCGGGCUCAACCCGGUGUCGCCGUUGAAACUGGCGUGCUCGAGUGCGUGCGAGGAAGGCGGAAUGCGUUGUGUAGCGGUGAAAUGCAUAGAUAUGACGCAGAACUCCGAUUGCGAAGGUAGCUUUCCAGCGCGCUACUGACGCUGAGGCACGAAAGCGUGGGGAUCGAACGGGAUUAGAUACCCUGGUAGU
rnacentral:rRNA from 1 species